CCUACGGGUGGCAGCAGUGGGGAAUAUUGGACAAUGGGGGCAACCCUGAUCCAGCCAUGCCGCGUGUGUGAAGAAGGCCCUCGGGUUGUAAAGCACUUUCAGUGAGGAAGAACGCCUGGUGGUUAAUACCCAUCAGGAAAGACAUCACUCACAGAAGAAGCACCGGCUAACUCCGUGCCAGCAGCCGCGGUAAUACGGAGGGUGCGAGCGGUAAUCGGAAUUACUGGGCGUAAAGCGCGCGUAGGUGCUUGAUAAGCCGGUUGUGAAAGCCCCGGGCUCAACCUGGGAACGGCAUCCGGAACUGUCAAGCUAGAGUGCAGGAGAGGAAGGUAGAAUUCCCGGUGUAGCGGUGAAAUGCGUAGAGAUCGGGAGGAAUACCAGUGGCGAAGGCGGCCUUCUGGACUGACACUGACACUGAGGUGCGAAAGCGUGGGUAGCAAACAGGAUUAGAUACCCUAGUAGUC
rnacentral:rRNA from 1 species